rnacentral:rRNA from 1 species
GAGGNGCUUGCACCUUAUCUUAGCGGCGGACGGGUGAGUAAUGCUUAGGAAUCUGCCUAUUAGUGGGGGACAACAUUCCGAAAGGAAUGCUAAUACCGCAUACGUCCUACGGGAGAAAGCAGGGGAUCUUCGGACCUUGCGCUAAUAGAUGAGCCUAAGUCGGAUUAGCUAGUUGGUGGGGUAAAGGCCUACCAAGGCGACGAUCUGUAGCGGGUCUGAGAGGAUGAUCCGCCACACUGGGACUGAGACACGGCCCAGACUCCUACGGGAGGCAGCAGUGGGGAAUAUUGGACAGUGGGGGGAACCCUGAUCCAGCCAUGCCGCGUGUGUGAAGAAGGCCUUAUGGUUGUAAAGCACUUUAAGCGAGGAGGAGGCUACUGAGACUAAUACUCUUGGAUAGUGGACGUUACUCGCAGAAUAAGCACCGGCUAACUCUGUGCCAGCAGCCGCGGUAAUACAGAGGGUGCGAGCGUUAAUCGGAUUUACUGGGCGUAAAGCGUGCGUAGGCGGCUUUUUAAGUCGGAUGUGAAAUCCCNCGAGCUUAACUUGGGAAUUGCAUUCGAUACUGGGAAGCUAGAGUAUGGGAGAGGAUGGUAGAAUUCCAGGUGUAGCGGUGAAAUGCGUAGAGAUCUGGAGGAAUACCGAUGGCGAAGGCAGCCAUCUGGCCUAAUACUGACGCUGAGGUACGAAAGCAUGGGGAGCAAACAGGAUUAGAU